UCUCUCUCUCUCUCACACCACAACAUCACUGAUGGGUUUCUGCAGCUUCUGCUGCUCCGACCAGCUGCCCAGGUAGGACGCCAGGACGUUUUUAUGCGACCUGUAACUACAGAAGACGGCCUGACAUUUAUUUACGGCCAUGAGGAUGACGGCAGUGCAGCUGAUUAUGGACAAAAUGAUGGCAGUAAUGACCAAGGCCAUCUGGACCCACUCGAUGUCGACGGUGCGCUCGGACUGGGGCCCGGUCUUCCCCAAUACUUGGAUGCCGCAGCGCUCGCCGUGGUAGUCCUUCAUGCAGCUGCAAAAUGCAAAAUUAUUCAAGACAGGCGGCCCCCCCAAAAAAUGUCAAGGAAUGGGUUUAGGCCACAAAGGGUUUCCGGUGUAAAAACUGUGCCCAACAUAUCGUGCGAGUAACUUGUGGCGACCCCCUAACAGGAGAGAGUUAGCUUCUUCUUGCUCUUCUCGCCAAGGACAUUCCC